rnacentral:rRNA from 1 species
UACGUAGGGGGCAAGCGUUGUCCGGAUUUAUUGGGCGUAAAGAGCGUGUAGGCGGUUUUACAGGUCCGCUGUGAAAACUCGAGGCUCAACCUCGAGACGUCGGCGGAAACCAUCUGGCUAGAGUCCGGAAGAGGAGAGUGGAAUUCCUGGUGUAGCGGUGAAAUGCGCAGAUAUCAGGAAGAACACCCGUGGCGAAGGCGGCUCUCUGGGACGGUACUGACGCUGAGACGCGAAAGCGUGGGGAGCGAACAGG